rnacentral:rasiRNA from 1 species
CUAAAUAUGACAAGCUAGUAAGCUAG